CCAGACUCCUACGGGAGGCAGCAGUGGGGAAUAUUGGACAAUGGGGGGAACCCUGACCCAGCGACGCCGCGUGAGGGAAGACGGUCUUCGGAUUGUAAACCUCUGUCUUUGGGGACGAAAAAGGACGGUACCCAAGGAGGAAGCUCCGGCUAACUACGUGCCAGCAGCCGCGGUAAUACGUAGGGAGCGAGCGUUGUCCGGAAUUACUGGGUGUAAAGGGAGCGUAGGCGGGAUUGCAAGUUGGAUGUGAAAACUGCGGGCUCAACCCGGAGCGUGCAUUCAAAACUGCGAUUCUUGAGUGAAGUAGAGGCAAGCGGAAUUCCUAGUGUAGCGGUGAAAUGCGUAGAUAUCAGGAGGAACACCGGUGGCGAAGGCGGCCUGCUGGACUGCGACUGACGUUGAGGCCCGAAAGCGUGGGGAGCAAACAGGAUUAGAUACCCCUGUAA
rnacentral:rRNA from 1 species